CACACACAUGCUGAGGUUGCUGAGACCAACAACUAAAAAGCAUGGCUUACCCAGAUUCCAGCAGCCAGAGUAUUUCUGGGAUAUUAAGCAGACCUUCAGAUGCAAAAAAUACGUAUGGCACCUGAAUGUCCAAGAGAAACCCUCCAAAUCUAUCCAGCAAGGUGACUCCUAAAUAAGAGAAUUAUAAAUGUUUACAUUUUCUUCUACCUCAGCUUCCUCCUUUUAUUAAACAGAAGUAAUGCAGGUGUAUGUUAAGGAAACUAUAUAAACUGUACUAUAUAGUUUACAAACUAUAUAUAAGCUGUAUAUUAUAAACUAUAUAAGUACAAAAUUUAUUUUAUAAACAGCAAAUUAUUUCUUCAAACAGAGCAACUCUACUCUAACAGAAACCAGGAUCCCGGCUUCUCUCCUUACUCUUCAGCGCUGUGUCUGGAAGGACGACUUUAAAGGCCAGGAACGGUAUAUUCAACUGCUGGCAGUGCUUGGCCCAGCAAGAGUGGCCCACGUGAUUGUACUCCAGCACCAGGGAGAAGCUGCUCCAGGGGAAAUCUGCUCUGAUAUGGUGGUUAUGCACCACCACACAGGAACUCAUGCUGAAGACAAAAGCAGCCACGAGGUGAACAGUUAUUGCCUGUCAUAUGCCCGUACCUCUAUAACGAUGUGUUGCCCAAGAACAUGGGGCCAAGCAACUAUGGAUUAAACCCUCUGAAAUCAUGAACCAAGAUUAUAGCUACUUAUCCUGAAGUGGAAAUAGGAAGAAAUGCUUCAGACAGCCAUGCCCGAGAAAAGCAAGUAUUUUUGCCUUUAAUAAAGCAUUUUGAAGAUGUGUUUCCCAUGUCAGUUAGUAAGGAAAUGCAACCUUCUUUCAUCCCGACUUUGCUUUUUAUCUCUCUAAAAUCUAACGUGGGUCUUACAUGUAGUUGGUACUACAACUAAGCCAAAAGUACUACUCAGUAUUUCACUUAAAAUUAUUUUA